CAUGAAGCUGGAAUCGCUAGUAAUCGCGGAUCAGAAUGCCGCGGUGAAUACGUUCCCGGGCCUUGUACACACCGCCCGUCACACCAUGAGAGUUGGGAAUACCCGAAGCCUGUGAGCUAACUAAUAGAGGCAGCAGUCGAAGGUAGAAUCAAUGAUUGGGGUGAAGUCGUAACAAGGUAUC
rnacentral:rRNA from 1 species